rnacentral:rRNA from 1 species
CAGUCGCCACGGUAAUACGGAGGGUGCAAGCGUUAAUCGGAAUUACUGGGCGUAAAGCGCACGCAGGCGGUUUGUUAAGUCAGAUGUGAUAUCCCCGAGCUUAACUUGGGAACUGCAUUUGAAACUGGCAAGCUAGAGUCUUGUAGAGGGGGGUAGAAUUCCAGGUGUAGCGGUGAAAUGCGUAGAGAUCUGGAGGAAUACCGGUGGCGAAGGCGGCCCCCUGGACAAAGACUGACGCUCAGGUGCGAAAGCGUGGGGAGCAAACAGGAUUAGAUACCCCUGUAGUCCCUGUCUCUUAUAC